rnacentral:rRNA from 1 species
AUUGAACGCUGGCGGCAGGCUUAACACAUGCAAGUCGAGCGAGCGGCGGACGGGUGAGUAAUUUCUGGGAAACUGCCUGAUGGAGGGGGAUAACUACUGGAAACGGUAGCUAAUACCGCAUACCAUCAGAUGUUCCCAGCUGGGAUUAGCUAGUAGGUGGGGAAAUGGCGCACCUAGGCGACGAUCCCUAGCUGGUCUGAGAGGAUGACCAGCAAAACUGGAACGGAGACACGGUCCAGACUCCUAAGGGAGGAAGCAGUGGGGAAUAUUGCACAAUGGGCGAAAGCCUGAUGCAGCCAUGCCGCGUGUGGGAAGAAGGCCUUCGGGUUGUAAAGCACUUUCAGCGAGGAGGCGUUACUCGCAGAAGAAGCACCGGCUAACUACGUGCCAGCAGCCGCGGUAAUAC